CGGCAUAGUUCUAGAAUUUUGGACUGGCAGAGGUCUUAGGCUUCACUGAGAUCAGCGCUUGCACAUCAGGGGCAAGGGAGCUGGGGCCCAGCGUGGUCAGGCGCUGGUAUAGGCUGCUCGUGCGCUUGGGGCAGAAGUGGGCGUGGAGCACAGCCUGGAGCCUUGGAGGGGCUUUUACAGAUGGUAAAUGUUGAAUAAAUGAAUGCAUCUUCUGAAUCUGUCCAGUUUUCUUUUUGUAUAUCUAUCUACAUAUUAGAAUUUGUGUUCAUUUUCAGUUUAUUUGGUCAGUAGAAAGUCAUAUAGCACUUUAUGGUUAACCUUCGAUACAAAUGAUAUAUAGUAACAAAAUUCUAAAAAAA
rnacentral:lncRNA from 1 species